rnacentral:rRNA from 1 species
UAACACAUGCAAGUCGAACGAGAAAGUUCCUUCGGGAGCGAUUAAAGUGGCGCACGGGUGAGUAACGCGUAGACAAUCUGCCCUUCAGUCUGGGACAACUUUUCGAAAGGAGAGCUAAUACCGGAUAACAAUGUUUAACAUAAGUUAAGUAUUUGAAAGCUUUAUGUGCUGAAGGAGGGGUCUGCGUCCCAUUAGCUAGUUGGUAAGGUAAAGGCUUACCAAGGCAACGAUGGGUAGCGGGUUUGAGAGGACGAUCCGCCACACUGGAACUGAGACACGGUCCAGACUCCUACGGGAGGCAGCAGUGGGGAAUAUUGCACAAUGGAGGAAACUCUGAUGCAGCAUUGUCGCGUGAGUGAAGAAGGCCCUUGGGUCGUAAAGCUCUUUUAUGGGGGAAGAUGAUGACGGUACCCCAAGAAUAAGCACCGGCUAACUAUGUGCCAGCAGCCGCGGUAAUACAUAGGGUGCGAGCGUUGUUCGGAAUUACUGGGCGUAAAGGGCGCGCAGGCGGAAUAGUAAGUCGGAGGUGAAAGCCCGGGGCUCAACCCCGGAGGGUCUUUCGAAACUGCUAAUCUAGAGAGGGUCAGGGGCCGGCAGAAUUCCUGGUGUAGAGGUGAAAUUCGUAGAUAUCAGGAGGAAUACCGGUGGCGAAGGCGGCCGGCUGGGGCCACUCUGACGCUGAGGCGCGAAAGCGUGGGGGAGCAAACAGGAUUAGAUACCCUGGUAGUCCACGCCGUAACGAUGAGCACUGGACGUCCGGAGGGUUCGACCCUUCUGGGUGUCUCAGCUAACGCAUUAAGUGCUCCGCCUGGGGAGUACGGUCGCAAGACUAAAACUCAAAGGAAUUGACGGGGGCCCGCACAAGCGGUGGAACAUGUGGUUUAAUUCGAUGCAACGCGAAGAACCUUACCUGGUCUUGACAUCCUCGGACCGCUUCAGAGAUGAAGUUUCCUCUUCGGAGGCCGAGUGACACGUGCUGCAUGGCUGUCGUCAGCUCGUGUCGUGAGAUGUUGGGUUAAGUCCCGCAACGAGCGCAACCCCUACCCUUAAUUGCCAUCGGGUUAUGCCGGGCACUUUAGGGGGACUGCCGGUGACAAGCCGGAGGAGGGUGGGGAUGACGUCAAGUCCUCAUGGCCUUUAUGACCAGGGCUACACACGUGUUACAAUGGGAGUUACAGAGGGAAGCUAAGCCGCGAGGCCAUGCCAAUCCCAGAAAAACUUUCUCAGUUCGGAUCGCAGUCUGCAACUCGACUGCGUGAAGCUGGAAUCGCCAGUAAUCGCGGAUCAGCACGCCGCGGUGAAUACGUUCCCGGGCCUUGUACACACCGCCCGUCACACCAUGGGAGCCGACAAGGGCAGAAGUCGCCGAGCUAACCUUCGGGAAGCAGGCGCCCAAGCUGUUGUUGACGACUGGGGUG